UCUCAAUGUCCAACAGUUCCUUAUGUGUAUAUGUCAGCAAUUAUAUUCUAGUUCUGGAUGGUGGACAAACGGUGGCAAUGCAGGUU
rnacentral:pre_miRNA from 1 species